UAUGAAUCUAGUGGAAACAUUUCUGCACAAACUAUAUUGUGGAGACCAGUGUGCGGAAAUGCUUCUGCUACAUUUUUAGG
ensembl:miRNA